GACGAACGCUGGCGGCGUGCUUAACACAUGCAAGUCGAACGGGGCUUGCCCUUUGGGGUGGGUUUAGUGGCGAACGGGUGAGUAACACGUGGGUAAUCUGCCCUCAGCUCUGGGAUAACUCCGGGAAACCGGGGCUAAUACUGGAUAUGACUACUGGUGACAUCGCCUGGUGGUGGAAAGAUUUUUUGCUGAGGAUGGGCCGCGGCCUAUCAGCUUGUUGGUGGGGUAAGUGGCCUACCAAGGCUUCGACGGGUAGGCCGGCCUGAGAGGGCGGACCGGCCACACUGGGACUGAGACACGGCCCA
rnacentral:rRNA from 1 species